GAGUGAUGAAGGCUUUCGGGUCGUAAAACUCUGUUGUUAGGGAAGAACAAGUGCUAGUUGAAUAAGCUGGCACCUUGACGGUACCUAACCAGAAAGCCACGGCUAACUACGUGCCAGCAGCCGCGGUAAUACGUAGGUGGCAAGCGUUAUCCGGAAUUAUUGGGCGUAAAGCGCGCGCAGGUGGUUUCUUAAGUCUGAUGUGAAAGCCCACGGCUCAACCGUGGAGGGUCAUUGGAAACUGGGAGACUUGAGUGCAGAAGAGGAAAGUGGAAUUCCAUGUGUAGCGGUGAAAUGCGUAGAGAUAUGGAGGAACACCAGUGGCGAAGGCGACUUUCUGGUCUGUAACUGACACUGAGGCGCGAAAGCGUGGGGAGCAAACAGGAUUAGAUACCCUGGUAGUCCACGCCGUAAACGAUGA
rnacentral:rRNA from 1 species